rnacentral:tRNA from 1 species
GCGAUCAUGGUGGAAUUGGUAGACACGCAACGUUGAGGUCGUUGUGCCUUUUUGGCUUGGAAGUUCGAGUCUUCUUGAUCGCACCA